ACGGGUGAGUAACACGUGACUAACCUACCCUGGAGUGGGGGAUAACUGAGGGAAACCUUAGCUAAUACCGCAUAACACCUACGGGUCAAAGGAGCAAUUCGCUUCAGGAGGGGGUCGCGGUCGAUUAGUUAGUUGGCGGGGUAAUGGCCCACCAAGACUGUGAUCGAUAUCCGGCCUGAGAGGGCGCACGGACACACUGGAACUGAAACACGGUCCAGACUCCUACGGGAGGCAGCAGUGGGGAAUUUUGCGCAAUGGGGGAAACCCUGACGCAGCAACGCCGCGUGGAGGAUGAAGUACUUCGGUACGUAAACUCCUUUCGAUCGGGACGAUAAUGACGGUACCGGAAGAAGAAGCCCCGGCUAACUUCGUGCCAGCAGCCGCGGUAAUACGAGGGGGGCGAGCGUUGUUCGGAAUUAUUGGGCGUAAAGGGUGCGUAGGCGGUUUGGUAAGUCUCUUGUGAAAUCUCAGGGCUCAACUCUGAGACUGCAAGGGAAACUGCCGGGCUUGAGUAUGGGAGAGGUGAGUGGAAUUCCUGGUGUAGCGGUGAAAUGCGUAGAUAUCAGGAGGAACACCUGUGGCGAAAGCGGCUCACUGGACCAUAACUGACGCUGAUGCACGAAAGCUAGGGGAGCAAACAGGAUUAGAUACCCUGGUAGUCCUAGCCCUAAACGAUGACUGCUUGGUGUGGCGGGUACCCAAUCCCGCCGUGCCGUAGCUAACGCGUUAAGCAGUCCGCC
rnacentral:rRNA from 1 species